AUCCCAUGGUGUGGACAUCUCCUUUGCAAAUCCUAGUAUCUUUCCCAUGCUUCAUACAAUCUCUCAUCAUUUCUAGGAUUGAAAGAAGUUAGCUCAUUUCUUAGUUU